rnacentral:rRNA from 1 species
CCUACGGGUGGCAGCAGUCGAGAAUCAUUCACAAUGGGGGAAACCCUGAUGGUGCGACGCCGCGUGGGGGAAUGAAGGUCUUCGGAGUGUAGUCCUCUCUCAUGUGGCAGCAAAUGACAAAGCUAGUACCACAAGAGGAAGAGACGUCUAACUCUGUGCCAGCAGCCGCGGGAAUACGGAGGUCUCAAGCGUUGUUCGGAAGCACUGGGCGUAAAGCGUGCGUAGGCUGUUUCGUAAGUCGGGUGUGAAAGGCGCGGGCUCAACCCGUGGAUGGCACAUGAUACUGCGAGACUAGAGUAAUGGAGGGGGAAACGGAAUUCUCGGUGUAGCAGUGAAAUGCGUAGAUA